AAGUCGUAACAAGGUUUCCGUAGGUGAACCUGCGGAAGGAUCAUUUCUGAACUAAGGUUCUUUUUUUGGGAAUGAAGUGAGGGAGUUAAAUCCUUUGCUGAUUUCUCAAUUAAAGUUUCCUUAUCAAAGAGAGUGUGUGGUAUAAAUGAAAAGGAAUUUCAAAAAAAAGCUAGCGGGUACUUGAAUAAAGUAAAGUACUCGUGUGUUUUUUUUUCAUUCCUAAUCUUAUUUAUGAACCAAAACAAGUUACUUUUUUGUUCAAAACAAAAACUUUUUUUUUCUCUUCUGUUUCUCAACUUGUUGAGAGCAGGAAGAAAAGAAAAACAAAAAAUGACAUACAACUGUCAACGGUGGAUCUCUUGGCUCGU
rnacentral:misc_RNA from 1 species